UACGGAGGGGGCAAGCGUUGUUCGGAAUUAUUGGGCGUAAAGGGCAUGUAGGCGGUUCGGUAAGUUAAAGGUGAAAUGCCAGGGCUUAACCCUGGAGCUGCUUUUAAUACUGCCAGACUCGAGUCCGGGAGAGGAUAGCGGAAUUCCUAGUGUAGAGGUGAAAUUCGUAGAUAUUA
rnacentral:rRNA from 1 species